UUGGAGGGCAAGUCUGGUGCCAGCAGCCGCGGUAAUUCCAGCUCCAAUAGCGUAUAUUAAAGUUGUUGCAGUUAAAAAGCUCGUAGUUGAAUUUCGGGAUCAAUGUUUCGGUCAUGCCGUUGGUAUGUACUGAUAUUAUUGAUUUCUCACCUUCUAAAGAACCGUAAUGCCAUUAAUUUGGUGUCACGGGGAAUUAGGACUGUUACCUUGAAAAAAUUAGAGUGUUUAAGGCAGGCUCACGCUUGAAUACAUUAGCAUGGAAUAAUGAAAUAGGACAUCCGAUUCUAUUUUGUUGGUUUCUAGGAUCGAUGUAAUGAUUAAUAGGGAUAGUUGGGGGCAUUAGUAUUCAAUUGUCAGAGGUGAAAUUCUUGGAUUUAUUGAAGACUAACUACUGCGAAAGCAUUUGCCAAGGAUGUUUUCAUUAAUCAAGAACGAAAGUUAGGGGAUCGAAGACGAUCAGAUACCGUCGUAGUCUUAACCAUAAACUAUGCCGACUAGGGAUCGGAUGAUGUUAAUUUUUUUAAUGACACAUUCGGCGCCUUACGGGAAACCAAAGUGUUUGGGUUC
rnacentral:rRNA from 1 species